UUCCUACUCUUUCCGACCGGUAUUACUUGUCUCAAAUUUGCCUAAAUACGGAUGUAUCUAUGUGUAAAAAAUGUCUAGAUACAUGUAAUAUUUUGACAAGUAAUACCGGCCGGAGGGAAUAGUAA
rfam:Brachypodium distachyon strain Bd21 chromosome 3, whole genome shotgun sequence.